rnacentral:rRNA from 1 species
CUAAGAAUCUUCCGCAAUGGGCGAAAGCCUGACGGAGCGAUGCCGCGUGAUCGAUGAAGGUCGAGAGAUUGUAAAGAUCUUUUACAACUGAGGAAUAAGUGUGGGAGGGAAUGCCCGCAUGAUGACGUUAAGUUGUGAAUAAGCCCCGGCUAAUUACGUGCCAGCAGCCGCGGUAACACGUAAGGGGCGAGCGUUGUUCGGAAUUAUUGGGCGUAAAGGGCACGCAGGCGGUUUUACAAGUCCGAUGUUAAAGACCUGGGCUUAACCCAGGGGAUGCGUUGGAAACUGUAAGACUAGAGUAUUAGAGGGGGAGUCGGAAUUCCAAGUGUAGGGGUGAAAUCUGUUGAUAUUUGGAAGAACACCGGUGGCGAAGGCGGACUCCUGGCUGAAUACUGACGCUGAGGUGCGAAAGCAUAGGGAGCAAACAGG